UAAGGACCCUCUGCUCUUCGAGUUGGUUACGUGGUGGAACUGUUUUUUUUCAAGAUGGAAGGACAACGGCAGCCAUCGCAAGUCCCACUUUGCCGUAAUUUUAACACCCGGCGAGGUUGCAAGUUCGGGAAGAGAUGUCGGUUUUAUCAUCCGAGAGAUUUCAGACAAAGCCGGGGCAGGCCAUGUAAAGCAGAGUCAGUACAAAGGGUGGCGUUGCCACCAGCCCCUCGCACGGAGUUCCCAGAGACCAGAGGUAAAUCGACGGUUGCGAAUUCAGACAGUUUCGUCAAUAAUACACGUACCUUGGACAGCGAAUUGAUCACGACGGAUGAAAUGCGAAUACGAAGGCUGUAUCGUGGAAUUCGCGCCACUCGAAAGAUAAGGUGGCACGCUAGAGAUACGGGGACAGAGAGUGAGAGCGAGGGAGACGAGUAUCAGCCAGAGGCCAAGCGAGCCCGAGCUUUGCAGCCACGCUGUGAAAAUGCAAUGCAGCAGGACCACGCACCGCAUAAUCCACUGCAGCAGUACACACAACAAGACCAUGCAGCGACAACACAACAGCAUAAGCCAGAGCCCACAGAUCUGAAGAUUCUGCAGGAACUAUACAUACAGCAACAGCGGUUUGGCUUCCCGCCGCCAGUACCGGCGUGGCACGUGAUCAGCUACGAAGAGCCUAUGGAUGAGUCACCAUAGCCAGAUGUUUCAGUGUUGUCCAUUAUAGUGCAAUCUAUUCUCGUGUUUUUGUCAGCUUAUAUGGGUUAAGGACCCUUCGGCAACAAGUUGCCGAAAACCUUCAUUUUGUUAAGUAUUGUCAAAAAAAUUAGUUUUUGUUCC